rnacentral:tRNA from 1 species
GGAGAAGUAGUUGAAAAAACUUUAGGUUUCAAACCUAAAGAAGCUUUAGAAGAAUUAAUUACUCCA